rnacentral:rRNA from 1 species
UACGGAGGUGCGAGCGUUGUUCGGAAUUAUUGGGCGUAAAGCGCGCGCAGGCGGCUCUCUAAGUCCAUGGGUAAAAGGCCGGGGCUCAACCCCGUGUACGCCCAGGAUACUGGGGAGCUGGAGACACGUAGAGGCAAGCGGAAUUCCGGGUGUAGCGGUGGAAUGCGUAGAGAUCCGGAAGAACACCGGAGGCGAAGGCGGCUGCUGGGCGUGAUCUGACGCUGAGGCGCGAAAGCGUGGGGAGCGAACAGG